rnacentral:rRNA from 1 species
GACAGAGGGUGCAAACGUUGUUCGGAAUUACUGGGCGUAAAGCGCGUGUAGGCGGCUAAGUAAGUCGGGCGUGAAAUCCCACGGCUCAACCGUGGAAGUGCACUCGAAACUGCAUAGCUAGAGUCCUGGAGAGGAAGGUGGAAUGCUUGGUGUAGAGGUGAAAUUCGUAGAUAUCAAGCGGAACACCGGUGGCGAAGGCGGCCUUCUGGACAGUGACGUG